AUUUUAACAUUGUUGCAUUUUCACAUUUUCACAUUUUCACAUACUAACCCUCAUUUCUCUUUUUUUUUGCAUUGACCCCAUCACUACAGUACUGCAACUUAAGAGUAGAAAAGUUACUUGCAUAUAUAAUAAUGCAAAAACUUAAAGAAAAGGGAAUACAAGACUUGAAAAUAGCUUGUCACUGUUAUGGAAAUGAAAUGACAUGCUCGUUACCCACGAACUUUGACUGUGCGUACAGCUACAUUUUAGGGUUUAGUUGUGUAGAAAUGGCAGUGCAUGAAUAUAGUGGAUAUAUGUGCACGCUAAAAAAAUUAACGAAUUUGUUAUUAAACGUGGAUGAAAUAAAAAUAGUAGGUGUGCCUGUAUGUAGUUUAUUAAAAAAAAAAAAAAAAAAUGAGAACAUAGUGGGAUUACAAAUUGCGGGUAAUGAAGCUACUUCGAAAGAAGCGAUUGAAAAAAUGCAAAACUGUACUCACAAUAUGAAAGAUAAUGGUAAUGUCAAAUUUUAUAUGAAAAAAAAAAAAAUUGAUUUAAAUAAUGAUUAUUAUUUAAAAUAUAAAAAAUGUCGUUCUAAAUAUUUAUACGAAGAUAAUUAUAGAAUAUUGAGUGGUAUACAAUAUGAGCAUAAAAUAUCUGUUGAAAAAAGUAAUGAUAGUAUUAGUUAUGCACAAAAAAAUAAUAACAAAAAUCCUAUUGAUUAUAUGCGACUUAAAUUUAAUGCACAAGAUAUAUGGAACAGAUUGAACUUCACUCUUGAAGGUAUCAACUGUGAGUAUUUAGGUAUAAACAAUAAAGAAGAUAAUAAGGAAUAUAUAUGUCUUAACAAAAAAGAAAAAUGUGAUAAUAUCACGAGUGCUAACAGUAACAGAAAUAUGACCAUUCAUAGCAAAAGCAACUUAUCAAACGAUUUAAAUUACAACGAUUACAAAUCUUAUAAUAAUUUAUCUUAUAUUGAACAAAAGCUUGUAAAACGUGUCAUAAAUUUUAAUACUGUGUUGAUUAGAUAUAAUACUAGCAUUAAACAUAUUGAAAAUACAUUCGAAAGUAAAUUAAAAAAUAAUUGUUUUUUUCAUAUUGAUAAAAUUAAUGAGUUUUACGUUAUACAAGAAAAUAAUAAUAAUCAUAAUAAUAAUAUAUAUAUAAAAAAUAGUACUCAUUUUAAUAAGAAUAUAUAUAAUGUGAAAAACACAGGAGUUGUUUUACUUUCUCAUUGUGUUCCAGGAGUUAACAAUAUAAUUGUAGGAUUACAUCAACGUUUGUCUACAAACAAUUUAAAACUGUUUGGUUUUAUAAAAGGAAUAGAAGGAUUAAUAAAUAAUAAUAUGUGCUUAAUUAAUGAUAAUAAUAUAAAAAAUUCAAUAAAUAUUGGAGGGUUUUCAUUAUUAGGUGUGAGUGUUAUAUACAAUAAGAAUGAUAAAGAAAAAAUAAAUAUAUAUGAUCUGAUUAAAAAGGAAAAUGUAAACAAGAUAACUGAAAACUGCAAAAAAAAUAAUAUUAGUAAUUUAGUUUUUAUUGGAAAUGAAAAGGUUAUAUCUUUGAUGAAUAUACUGAACGAUAUAUUUAUAAAUGAAAAAGUUCAAAUAAAAAUUAUAACUAUACCUAUAUCUUUAUACAACAGUUUUGAUAAAAAUUUAAUUGAAUGUAGUAUUGGCUAUCAUUCAACAGUAUGUAAUAUUAGUGGAAUUGUUAGCAAUUUAGAAGCAUCUUGUUUAAAAAGAUAUUACUACAUAGUAAAAAUACAUACUAAUAUAUCGUCCUCUUUAUUAUUAUCAAUACAAUUAGAAACUCAUUGUAACAUUUGUUGUGUUGGUGAAUAUGGAACAAGUCAUAGCAUUAAUUUGUCGACACUUAUUGAAAACAUUGCUUUAGUUAUUAUUGAAAGAAUAAAUAGAAAAAAACAACAUGGUAUUAUUCUGUUUAGUUCAAAUUUGAUUUAUUGUAUUAGUGAUUUUUUUCAUUUAUGUCAGGACGUGGAUGAAAAUAUAAAGGAUCCGCAGAUUUUGGAGCAGAUUAUAUCGAAGGACGUGUUUCCGGAGAGCGUUACGAAGGUUUUAAAAAAAGAAAGUGUAGAAUUAUUAAAAAUAUGCACUAAGGAAGUGAAGGAGAAGUUGCUAAGAAAAGAAAAAAGAGAAGACGAAGACAUUGAUGCAAACUUUGAAAUAAUGUUAAUAAGAGAAAUAAAAAAAUAUAUAAAGACAUUAAUGGAACAACAUGCACAAACAAAUAAUGAUACAUAUUGUUAUAAAAAACAUAUGAGUACAGUAACUAAUAAUAAUAUAACAUUAAAAAAUAUAAAAGUAUACAAAGAUAUAAAUUAUUUAUCUUUAUUUAAAAUAAAAAAUAAAAAUAUUGAUAGGGAGAUUAAUUGUCAUUUCCCUACUCACUUUGAUAAUUCAUUAGCAUUUUCUCAUGGCCUAUUGGCUGGAAUUGCAGUCGAAAAUGGUAUUAUAAAUUAUGUCACUUCUAUCAGGCAUCUAACUCUUAACAAACAAAAUUGGAGCGGUUCAUUAUACCCUGGGUUUUACUUUAUAAAUAAAAAGGGCGACGACGGGUGUUUUAACAAGGUAUGUUCGUGUAUGUCCACAUAUACACUUAUAAAUGAAUGACCCAACACUUAUUUUGGCACGUUUAUAAUGAUCAUUUUUUUUUUUUUUUUUUUUUUUUUUUUUCUAUCAUUCCUCGUUAUUAGUACCCGUAUGUUGCCCCAGUACCAAUAUCAGUAAAGUCAAGUCAAAUGGCUACCGUUAAGCAUAAUUCCCAUACAGUAAAAAUA
ensembl:lncRNA